CAGUGCUGUUUAUGUUGGCCAGCACCCAAUAAGCAAAUAAUGGGAAAUUGAUUAUUGAUUAUUUCCUCAUUCCCAAGUGAAAAGGAGAAAGGUAUCUCUAUUGGAGAUGAACGCAUGUUCAAUACACGUGGCCUGCCUGAGUCAUUAGCAAAGUGUCCAACAACUCUGAGGCGUAUCCUCAAAUGAAGCCUUGUCUCUGUGAAAUUCCUGGUAAGAGAAGUUGAGGCAUCAAUAGUGGAUCAGGAGGUAUUUUUAGGGGAAGAGGAGUCUCAGUAUUCAUGGAACUCAAUGAGACCUCCACCUACACAAGGCCAAGGCUGCAUAUGGAUGUAGAGAAAUAAAACUCAGAUGUUGAAAAGUAUCUGAAGAGAUGAUAGCAAAGGGAAAUUAUCUUUUAUCUUUCAGAUAAAUCGUCAUUUUAUGGAAUGCCACAGGAAGAAGUUUUCUUUACAAGUUCUGAAGACUUGUGAUGAAUGAGUCCAUAGUUUCACCUUUGAAAAUGUCCCUGGGAGUGUCAACCCCAUCACUUUUACUUAUAUUACACUCAUAAUCAGUUCAUCUCGCCAAGAAAAAUAAUAUUAUCCUCAUGCCCAAACUUGUGACUUGAUUUGAA
rnacentral:lncRNA from 1 species